CUAGUACCACCUUGAUGACCAAGCCUUUUUAACACAGGCUUUUGGGGGCCUGUGUGCAUAUCCACACCAUACACUACAUAAGGAAGUGUAGUCACAGGCUUUGGAGGUUAGGAUGUAGACAGCUGCAGGGAGCCAUCGGGCUCUCACCCUGUCAUAGGAAGUAAAGCACAUGAGGUUAGCAUCACUUUGGAAGACAGGAACUACACUUACCUUUUGCCUUAGGAGAAAGUAGAAGGAAUGGAAAUAAUAAUAAUCUAGAGAGCUGAGAUUGAAAAGAAAGGUUGUGCAUCAAAAGAGAUGCUCUGUUUGCUAAUGGACCUUCAUCCUUCUAAGUUUUUUCUAAAUAGAACAUAGAUUUCAGAGGGGCAGAAGCCAUGUUUUAUAUUUUCCUUGUUAAUGCUUUCCAUGGGCAUGUGGUUCAAUUAAGGACACAUAGUAAAGGCUGAAUGAUGUGACUCAGUCAUCAGGAGGAAGCUAGGAAGGAUUCUGCUGCUGGUAGAUGGGUGUAGCUUCUGCUUAGGAAUGAGACAGGGAGUAGGUGUUCAAUGGGAAUU